rnacentral:lncRNA from 1 species
UGAACACAAUUGCAUUUUAUCAAUGGCAAUUUGAAUGCACAGAGAUAGCGCGACGAGAUCCUGAGGCCGUUCAUCGGCCGCCAUCACUUCAUGUUUCAGCAUGGUAAUGCAUAGCUCGAUGUCGCAAGGAUCUGAAACUGAAAAUGUGUCAGUUCUUCCAUGGCCUGCAAACUCACCAGGCAUGUCACCCAUGGAGCAUGUUUGGGAUGCUCUACGACAGCGUGUUCUAGUUCCCGCCAAAAUCCAGCAACUUCGCACAGCCAUUGAAGAGGAGUGGGACAACAAUCCACAGCCAAAAUCAACAGCCUGAUCAACUCUAUGCGAAGGAGAUGUAUCACGCUGCGUGAGGCAAAUGGUAGUCACACCAGAUACUGACUGGGUUUCUGAUCCACGACCCCACCAUUUUUUAAGAUGGGCAGACCAGAAACCCAGUGACAACACUUGGGUCUGCAGCUGCCAUUUUCCGCUGGGAAAGAGAAAUGGCCCUGUAUUUACCAGAAAAGGUAGCUCAUCCACCAUGGCAGAAGAGGAAGAUCCAGACUGAUGAUUGGGAAACAAGAACAAACAAUGAGUUCAACAGGAGUGCUGUCACAGGCGUCGAAAGGGACAGACCAAAAUGCAGCGGGACGUGACAAGUGCAUCCCUCAGACCAUCCGGUGGAAAGACAUCCUGUGCCAGUGUGAUCCGAGCGCAAGCGUCCAGUUGUGGAGACUACAGCACAACGAGCCUGUGGACAGACAGG